GACGAACGCUGGCGGCGUGCUUAACACAUGCAAGUCGAACGUGAUUUUUGUGGAAAUUCUUUCGGGAAUGGAAAUGAAAUGAAAGUGGCGAACGGGUGAGUAACACGUGAGCAACCUACCUUACACAGGGGGAUAGCCGUUGGAAACGACGAUUAAUACCGCAUGAGACCACAGAAUCGCAUGAUAUAGGGGUCAAAGAUUUAUCGGUGUAAGAAGGGCUCGCGUCUGAUUAGCUAGUUGGAAGGGUAAAGGCCUACCAAGGCGACGAUCAGUAGCCGGUCUGAGAGGAUGAACGGCCACAUUGGAACUGAGACACGGUCCAAACUCCUACGGGAGGCAGCAGUGGGGAAUAUUGCACAAUGGGGGGAACCCUGAUGCAGCGACGCCGCGUGAGCGAAGAAGGUUUUCGAAUCGUAAAGCUCUGUCCUAUGAGAAGAUAAUGACGGUAUCAUAGGAGGAAGCCCCGGCUAAAUACGUGCCAGCAGCCGCGGUAAUACGUAUGGGGCGAGCGUUGUCCGGAAUUAUUGGGCGUAAAGGGUACGUAGGCGGUUUUUUAAGUCAGGUGUGAAAGCGUGAGGCUUAACCUCAUUAAGCACUUUGAAACUGGAAGACUUGAGUGAAGGAGAGGAAAGUGGAAUUCCUAGUGUAGCGGUGAAAUGCGUAGAUAUUAGGAGGAAUACCGGUGGCGAAGGCGACUUUUCUGGACUUUUACUGACGCUCAGGUUCGAGAGCUUGUGGAUCGAGUGG
rnacentral:rRNA from 1 species